CCUACGGGUGGCAGCAGUCGAGAAUCAUUCACAAUGGGGGAAACCCUGAUGGUGCGACGCCGCGUGGGGGAAUGAAGGUCUUCGGAUUGUAAACCCCUGUCAUGUGGGAGCAAAUUAAAAAGAUAGUACCACAAGAGGAAGAGACGGCUAACUCUGUGCCAGCAGCCGCGGUAAUACAGAGGUCUCAAGCGUUGUUCGGAAUCACUGGGCGUAAAGCGUGCGUAGGCUGUUUCGUAAGUCGUGUGUGAAAGGCGCGGGCUCAACCCGCGGACGGCACAUGAUACUGCGAGACUAGAGUAAGGGAGGGGGAACCGGAAUUCGCGGUGUAGCAGUGAAAUGCGUAGAUAUCGAGAGGAAUACUCGUGGCGAAGGCGGGUUCCUGGACAUUAACUGACGCUGAGGCACGAAGGCCAGGGGAGCGAAAGGGAUUAGAUACCCUGGUAGUC
rnacentral:rRNA from 1 species